GACAGAGGUUGCAAGCGUUGUUCGGAAUCACUGGGCGUAAAGGGUGCGUAGGCGGUUAGAUAUGUCUGAUGUGAAAGCCCCCGGCUUAACUGGGGAAGUGCAUCAGAAACUAUUUAACUGGAGUACAGAAGAGGAUGGCAGAAUUCCCGGAGUAGAGGUGAAAUUCGUAGAUACCGGGAGGAAUACCUGAGGCGAAGGCGGCCAUCUGGUCUGU
rnacentral:rRNA from 1 species